CUCAGGGAGCUGCUACCGCCAGGGGCGGAGUUGGAGGACCAGCAAUGCUACUGUGUUUCCCCGAAAAUAAGACAGUGUCUUAUAUUAAUUUUAGGCCCAAAAAAUGCACUAGGGCUUAUUUUCGGAGUGACUGCAAUGUCUGCUGGCAAAGCUCGUUCCCCUCCCUAUUGCAUUCUUGAAGCCUUUUUCAACCAAGCGAGGAAGGGGCAGCAGGGAGGUAUCCUGCCGCCCCAAUUACUGAUGGAAAUACGUGCACAGGAGGGGGAAAAGCAGCCGAAGGGCUCAAGCAGAAGGACACAGGACCAAGCCAGGUGUUUUUCUUGAUCAGUUGGCAACCCUAGUAAAAACCAAUCCCUGUACCAAGGUCCAGAUCUGUGGAGGGCCUGAUCUGACUGCUAUUUACGCUUUAAACACCCAGCAUAGAAGUGCCAAGCAGCAAUUAGAAAAGGUAGGAUUUGGAAGCUGAAAAGCAGAGCAGAGAGACUUGGCAUCAAAUGAGGUCUGGAAGUAUAGAGAGAAGCCAGUGCUGGUAACGUCAAGGAAAGGUGGAAAGAGGAGGUGAAGCAGUUAACACAGAACGAGAGCACUGUCUAUGAAGCAACCUCUUAGCCAGUAUAUUCACCAAUAACACAUUGCGCAAGGACACACAACUGAGCACAUGGGUGUAAUA